rnacentral:lncRNA from 1 species
AUGACCUGUGCCUUUGGGGCCCUGACGCCGAGGUCGUGGCCCCUUUCUCCUGGAUCACUUUUCCCUUCCCAGUCUCCCCGGGGACUUCAGUCGUGCCACCUCUUAAGGCCCCACUCACACCUGACCCCACCCAUCCCUUGGCCUUACCCCGCACCCACUGGCGCUGCCCCCACCCUCCACUGCCUGACCCACAGCCGAGGAGUACAGGCAGACACAUGCAUGUGCAACUCUCAGGGCCUCUCAGCUCCGCCGCUGGCUAGGCCCCUCCAGCUCCAGGCACACGGGCCAGGUGGGAGGCACGCAGAGCCCUCUCCAGGCGGGCAGGGCGUCCCGGCGAGGUGUGGCUGUCCCCGGCUCUGUGACCCUACGCCUCCCAUGCUCCCCCUGCCCUCCAGCGCUUCCACCACCCCCACCCCGCUCCUGCCCCUCUGCUCCAGAGUAGUGCCUCCCAAGCCCUCUGGGGCCUCGUGGGUAGACGGGCUCCUGCAGACCUUUUGCUCAGAGCCCGCACCCAGGGAAGGAUGGGUCUGGACGCCGCCGGGGGCAGCCCCAGCGGAUGCGACAAGCAGGGGUCCACCACGGGUCAAGUUCGCAAGCAGUCCAGCGGAGAAGGAGAAAACUGACCUGGCAGCACACAGACCAAGAGGAGACCCAACCAGCCAGGCCCUGAAGACACAGAGCCCAAGUGGAGGAUGGGGCGGGCUGGGGAGGCCCCUCCCACUCCCACGGUGGCACUGCAGAGCCCCUUCCUGCCAUGGCCUCUCCAAGGAGGGUGGGAGUCUCUGGGAGGACAUACAAGUCUGCGGGCACCUCCAGGAGGGUGAGCGUCAGCAGGGCCUGCCGCAGGGUUUUGGUGUUCUGGUGGGGACAGGUUGGGGAGUUCAGUCCCCGAUCCCAGGGGCAGACUCUGUUCAGGCUGAGAAAGCGCUGCUCUCCAACAGCAGCUCUCCUGGGAUGCCCGGCCUGUCUGGCCCUGGGCUCCACGGGGUCUGGGUGCCCCUGAAAUGCCCCAGAGCCCGAGGCUCGCUGUCGCCCCAGCGAGGGCUGGUCUCACCACAGACACACGUCCAGGGUUGA